UAACUAUUGAAUUGUUGUUGUUUUUUUUUUUAUGUUGCUUUGGACAAAAAAAAUGUCUCCCAAAUCCCAUAACCAUAAACCUGGAUCUUAAAAUCAGCUGCAUCGUGGGCCGGCGGCUUACUGGACCAAAGUUGCAUGGCUGUUUUUUCCUCUCACAUACACUAGUAGUCUGUGCAGGACUUUACAAAGCAAAAUAUUAGGCAGGAUCUUACUUGGAUUCCUGCAUCAUUAUGGCCAGGAUAUCGUAGUUCCGGUUUCCAGGCAGUUUAACCAGAGACUUUCUAAUGACGAGACACGGCACUCAAAGAAUCUCCUAUAGAAAUGCAUGGGGUUAGUUUGUAACGCCAAUAUGGCAGUACAGUAUCCCGCCCCUUUCGUGGCCAAAAGUCAACAUGUGAAUACAUUGUACCAAUCGUGUGGUGUGUUGUGAAUACAUUGUGUCAAUCAUG